GCAGAUAGCUCGAGGCAGCAAUUAAGGUUUGAUUGUCAUGUUCUGUCAUGAACUUCCCAUUUGAAUUUAUAAAUGAAUACUAUAAGGCAAAGCAUUUGUAAUAAAGGACAAGAGUAAAAGACAAUAAAUCAUGUGAUUGGGGGAAUCAUAACGGAAUCAAUAGAUGCAAAUAAAAUAUGCUGCAGAUUGAUCCUAAUGCUAUCAUUGUUUUCAUCU
rnacentral:misc_RNA from 1 species